GACGAAGGGGGCUAGCGUUGUUCGGAAUUACUGGGCGUAAAGCGCGUGUAGGCGGUUGUCCAAGUUGGAUGUGAAAGCCUUGAGCUCAACUCAAGAAAUGCAUUCAGGACUGGAUGACUAGAGGACCGGAGAGGAUAGUGGAAUUCCCAGUGUAGUGGUGAAAUGCGCAGAUAUCAGGAAGAACACCUAUGGCGAAGGCAGCUCUCUGGGACGGUACUGACGCUGAGACGGCGAAAGCGUG
rnacentral:rRNA from 1 species